rnacentral:lncRNA from 1 species
UUGAUUUUUUUUUUAUAUGUCGGAAUGUGUGUAGCAAUCUAUCUAUUUUUUUCUCUUCUCCGUCUAUCGUCCGACGUUUGAUUUUGAUUAUCAUAUUUAUAAUAGAAAGGGUAGCGAGAGAUAUUUUGAGGAAUCAGUUAACAAUUCGAAAUUCGAAAUCGAAUUUUGAAUCGGUUGUUGUGGUUGGUUGGAAGAUAUUUUGGGGUUGGUUGGGAAUUCGAAAUUUGAAAUCGAAUUUUGAAUCGGUUGUUGUGAUUGGUUGGAAGAUAUUUCGGGGGUUGGUUGGCGAUUCGAAAUUCGAAAUUGAAUUUGAAUGGGUUGUUGGAUGGUUAGAGGAUAUUUUGGAAAUUGGUUGGGGAUUCGAAAUUCAAAAUCGAAUUUUGAAUCGGUUGUGGGAUGGAUAGGUAUUCAAAAUUUGAAUGGAUGUUGGUUGAGAGAUAUUUUGCGAGUUUGUUCGAAAUUCGAAAUCGAAUUUCGAAUAGGGUUGUUAGGAUAACAAAUAUUUUCUAGUUGGUUGGGGGUUUAAAAAUUUAAAAUUGAAUUUGAAUAUGAUAUUCGAAAUUGAAUUUUCAAACGUGGGUAAAAAUGUGGGCCGUGAUCCCAUGAAUUGGGCUAAAAUUGGGCCCACUUUGAUGAAACUUGUUGGGCACAAAUAUUCAUUGGGCUGAGAUGAGGCUCGAAUUAUUGUAUAGGCCUAAAAUUUUAAAGGGCUUUCAUGAGGCUCAUUAAUUUACAUUUAUGAAUG